GAUGAACGCUGGCGGCGUGCUUAACACAUGCAAGUCGAACGAUGAAGCCCAGCUUGCUGUGUGGAUUAGUUGCGAACGGGUGAGUAACACGUGAGUAACCUGCCCUUCACUCUGGGAUAAGCCUGGUAAACUGGGUCUAAUACCGGAUAGGAGCGCCCACCGCAUGGUGGGUGUUGGAAAGAUUUAUCGGUUUUGGAUGGACUCGCGGCCUAUCAGCUUGUUGGUGAGGUAAUGGCUCACCAAGGCGACGACGGGUAGCCGGCCUGAGAGGGUGACCGGCCACACUGGGACUGAGACACGGCCCAGACUCCUACGGGAGGCAGAAGUGGGGAAUAUUGCACAAUGGGCGCAAGCCUGAUGCAGCGACGCCGCGUGAGGGAUGACGGCCUUCGGGUUGUAAACAUCUUUCAGUAGGGAAGAAGCGAAAGUGACGGUACCUGCAGAAGAAGCACCGGCUAACUACGUG
rnacentral:rRNA from 1 species